rnacentral:lncRNA from 1 species
AUAAUUAGAUGUAUAUUAAUUAAGAAAUAAUUAGAUGUAGUUAAUUUUUUUAAAACAAUACAUACAAAUCUCAUAAAAAGGAACAAAGGAAAAUUCAAGAAGUGUCACAUCUCUAAGGAAAUAGAUAGUAACCAUUUACUUAUGGAAAAAAUCUACUACAAGAUUCUGAGUAUCAAAAUACUGAAAAAGAAUAGAAUUGCACAUGAAUGCUUUAUGUACAAGUGGUACUUAGAGUCCAAGAUUAGGGAUGUAUGGCUCAAGUUGCUUAUUCUCUUCGAAAUAGAUCUCAAGUAUGUGGUAAUCUUAACAAUGACUAGUGACUUAAGGAGAAACACUUGCUUAGGCACACUCAUUUGAGCACAAGAUUUAGGCACACACACAUAUAAAUAAAAAUAAAUUAAAAUUGUCACAUCAAUUCCACUUUAACCAUUUUAUCUUUAUUUUUUUAAAAUUUUUUGUGAGUGUGCCUAACACAUAUAAUUUAUGCGUGUGUUUGGUUCUGCGGCGGAGAGAAUUGAUUUUGGCAUAAUUGAUUCUGUAAAAUUGAUUCUGGCCAAAAUUGAUUUUAAGCUGAAGUGGUUUAUGUUUGGAUAUAUUCAUGAAAA